rnacentral:tRNA from 1 species
GCCCCCGUAGCUCAGUGGAUAGAGCGAUCCCCUCCUAAGUCAGAUUGGGCACCGGCAAGCGAAAGCGGCCGCGUGAAUGGAGUCAAAUUCGGUGAACCCUGACAGUGUAUGUUCAACAAUCAUGUACCUAUGGCGCAUGAUUGUUAUGCAAACGGCUGCUGGCAAUACCGAGCCAAGCCAUACUACCGACGGUGGUAUGGAAGGUGUAGAGACUAGACGGCUCCGACCUGCGGACUGCUAUUGGUAUUUGCAGUUCAUGGUCAAGGUAUAGUCCAGACCACAAACAAGUUUCUUGGUGGCGAAAGCCAUGGUGGUACGAAGGGAUAGGUCACACGUUCGAUCCGUGUCGGGGGCGCCA